GGACAAACGGUAUGCACACAAGCAUUUUAAACUUAUGACAGUCACAUUCUGCACAUGAGGCUAAAUAUAAAUAUUCUAUCACUGUUCCACCAGCGACCUUCCCUGAGCAGUUGGCCCCAGCUGGGAAUGACUACCGCAGGCAUCUUUUGAUCCACACAUUGUUGCCACAGGUCUAAGGCCAGCUGGUGAUGGUGGCUUCAGAAGUGGCCCGGGAUCACUGCUAUUGUCCCCGCCCCUCCAGAAUGCCCAGUUUUAUAAGAAAAUGGCCAGAAGUCAAGGGAGCGCUAGAAGUCCAACAAGCUGUCUUUCAAUGCCUGAUCCAAGUUACCUAUUCAGGAGAAUGUGGGGAGGGGGUAGUCCUCUAGGGACAGAGGCAAAAUGUCGCUGUAAAUGAGAGAAAAAGUUUAGGUCUCUUAAGUCCAGGCACGCUCAGCCUAUGACGGCUCAAGAUUGACUGUGAUCACCAGCAGUGGAAGACCUGGAACACACACGGUAAGUGGCUGUGUGGGUCUCAGAUCUGCAGCCCCGAUUCCUCAGUGUCUGCGAGCUGGGUGGACAGGAGGGGGCUCUAGGAGGGACCUGUGUGUGUACAACAAAGGCUCAAGGACCGGAAGUCACCCCAGAGUUAGCGCAUUAACAGAGAACCCAGCGCAACACAACCCAGUUCCCCGUGGUGUCAGCCGGAGCCCUAAUCCUGCUGCACUGCCUCAGUUUCCCAUGAAGACCCCACGGAAGCCUCCGCGCCCAUACCCGGUGAUCAGGACCCCAUGGUCACUGGUGGAGACUGGGCCCGCCUGAGGAUGGAGUGGGACGACAGACAGUGGAAACCUGUCUUCGCAGGAAGCCCCAGGAAACUCCUCAAAACUCCUGUGACCGGCUGCACCCCAGUCAGCAUCCCUGAGCUGCUGUGGUCUAAAGCAGGGAUCUUGUCUGCCGAGCUGCCCUAGGGUUCCAGCAUGAGGCCCGUGAGAGAUGCAGGAAAGCCUGGGCUGAGCCCUGGAAGAGGCCACUGGAAGUGAGGAGAAGGGAAUCAGCUGGUACCAUGCUCACUCCUUAUUCAGUUGUUAACCCUGUCUCCUGUGCUGAGUGUUCCCCGGCCCUUUGAGUCAGAGCUGCUUUCUGCCACUGCCAUUAGGAGUCCAUUUUAUGGAA